rnacentral:rRNA from 1 species
CGAUGAUCCCAGCUUGCUGGGGGAUUAGUGGCGAACGGGUGAGUAACACGUGAGUAACCUGCCCUUAACUCUGGGAUAAGCCUGGGAAACUGGGUCUAAUACCGGAUAUGACUCCUCAUCGCAUGGUGGGGGGUGGAAAGCUUUUUUGUGGUUUUGGAUGGACUCGCGGCCUAUCAGCUUGUUGGUGAGGUAAUGGCUCACCAAGGCGACGACGGGUAGCCGGCCUGAGAGGGUGACCGGCCACACUGGGACUGAGACACGGCCCAGACUCCUACGGGAGGCAGCAGUGGGGAAUAUUGCACAAUGGGCGCAAGCCUGAUGCAGCGACGCCGCGUGAGGGAUGACGGCCUUCGGGUUGUAAACCUCUUUCAGUAGGGAAGAAGCGAAAGUGACGGUACCUGCAGAAGAAGCGCCGGCUAACUACGUGCCAGCAGCCGCGGUAAUACGUAGGGCGCAAGCGUUAUCCGGAAUUAUUGGGCGUAAAGAGCUCGUAGGCGGUUUGUCGCGUCUGCCGUGAAAGUCCGGGGCUCAACUCCGGAUCUGCGGUGGGUACGGGCAGACUAGAGUGAUGUAGGGGAGACUGGAAUUCCUGGUGUAGCGGUGAAAUGCGCAGAUAUCAGGAGGAACACCGAUGGCGAAAGCAGGUCUCUGGGCAU